AAAAAGCAUUAUGACCCGUGGAUUGCAUGUGAAUACGUGGUACUUCGCAGUAGCGUCUUUUCACGCGUUCGAGUUGCACAGCGGCACACAACAGCUUCGC
rnacentral:lncRNA from 1 species